ACCUUCUCAGGGUCACACCUGGAGAGUUUCUAGUACUCUACCAGUCUCGACUAUGGGAGGGAGAGUCAAGCAGAGGCAUAUCCAUUCCAUUCCUAGCUUAGCCAGUCGCUAGUGAGUGGAAGGCAAUCUGUUACAAGU
rnacentral:snoRNA from 2 species